rnacentral:rRNA from 1 species
GACAGGGGAUGCAAGCGUUAUCCGGAAUGAUUGGGCGUAAAGCGUCUGUAGGUGGCUUUUUAAGUCUGCCGUCAAAUCCCAGGGCUCAACCCUGGCCAGGCGGUGGAGACUACUAAGCUGGAGUACGGUAGGGGCAGAGGGAAUUUCCGGUGGAGCGGUGAAAUGCGUAGAUAUCUGGAGGAACACCGGUGGCGAAGGCGGCAUCCUGGACCGGCAUUGACGCUGAGGCGCGAAAGCCAGGGGAGCAAACGGG